AACGAACGCUGGCGGCGUGCCUAACACAUGCAAGUCGAGCGCGAAAGUCCCUUCGGGGGCCAGUAGAGCGGCGGACGGGUGAGUAAUACGUGGGUAAUCUAUCCUCGAGCCCGGGAUAACCCUGCGAAAGCGGAGCUAAUACCGGAUAAGACCACACAGCAUAAGGUGUGUGGUAGAAGGUGGCUUGUAUUUAUACUUGCUAUCACUUGAGGCUGAGCCCAUGGCCUAUCAGCUAGUUGGUGAGGUAAUAGCUCACCAAGGCUAUGACGGGUAGCUGGUCUAAGAGGACGACCAGCCACACUGGGACUGAGACACGGCCCAGACUCCUACGGGAGGCAGCAGUGGGGAAUAUUGGGCAAUGGGCGAAAGCCUGACCCAGCGACGCCGCGUGGGUGAUGAAGGCCUUCGGGUUGUAAAGCCCUUUCGUGUGGAAAGAAUAGUCC
rnacentral:rRNA from 1 species